GGGUAAAUGGCGGAAUGGUAGACGCAGUACACUCAAAAUGUACCGAGUACAUCGUGAGGGUUCAAAUCCCUCUUUACCCA
rnacentral:tRNA from 1 species